UGCAUGCUUUUACAGUAUGGAAAUUGGUGAUUUAUAAUAACUUGGCAAAUCGCAAAGUGAAAACAGGCGAUAAAUCAUUCAAGUUUCUGACCUAUCAGCUUUCGACGGUAUGGUAUUGGCUUACCGUGGCAGUGACGGUUAACGGGGGAUUAGGGUUCGAUUCCGGAGAGGGAGCCUGAGAAACGGCUACCACAUCUAAGGAAGGCAGCAGGCGCGCAAAUUACCCAAUUCUAACAGUUUGAGAGAGGUAGUAACAAGAAAUAACAAUACAAGGCAAUUAAAAUGUUUUGUAAUUGGAAUGAUAGAAAUUUAAACCCUUUUUAAAGUAUCAAUUGGAGGGCAAGUCUGGUGCCAGCAGCCGCGGUAAUUCCAGCUCCAAUAGCGUAUAUUAAAAUUGUUGCAGUUAAAAAGCUCGUAGUUGAAGUUCUGCUAAAAGUAACCGGUCUGCUUUUAAUAAAAGUGGUAUCUUGGUGUGUAUUUAGCAAUGAUGUCCUUUGAAGUGUUUUUUACUUUAUUGUAAUAAAGCAUAUUCAGGACUUUUACUUUGAGAAAAUUAGAGUGU
rnacentral:rRNA from 1 species